UUGUUCAGCUCUUCAAGUGGUUGUGGCUUUAAGUUUGGAGUGAUCUUGGUUGCUUCUGGAUUUGUUGCACAGGUGGGCUGCUGCUGGCUGGUUGUGGUCGUUUUAUGUCUGGGCAUAACUUGUCUUGCCCAAAUAUGCUCUGUUAAUGUGAUCCAACCAGAGAAAACCAUGCAGAUGCUUUUUGGUUGAAAAGCACAUUCUAUUGGGAAGACAUCUCUGCUUCUAAAAGCACAUGCAUUAACUGCCUGAUUCAUGUGGUGACACGUGGAAUAUCCGAAUGUGUUAUGGAUCUCCCAGGAAUAAAAACAACAUAGCAAAAUCAUCACCUUGGGAUGUUCAUUGAGUGAAUAUUUUACAGACAUACUCCUUUUAUAUUUAUAUAAUAAUUUAGUGUUAUGACAAUUUUUUUAGCAGUGUUGGCAGUUUUUCUUUUUUAUAAUGGUAUUAUAUUUGUGAGCCUAUUAAGUGCACAUGGGCUAAACUACAGAAAAAAGUAUUUCUCAUAAUUCCUUAGGGUGCUUGUAGCAAAAGAACCAUAUUGGUAUAGAAAAAUGUUAAUAAAAGGUCAAGCAGAACUUUCCAAUGUUUAUCAUGAUAGCAAUAGCAAUUAGGGGCUUUUUUGAAUUGUAUAUUGAAGAAGCAGAUUUAUGGAGUAUAUAGAGAAGGAACUACACCUACUGUACUUUGUAUUUAAAUUCUUUAUUAUGAGACAAAUCUAACAGUUUUAGCGAUAAUCAAAGUAGUUAAUUUCCAUUGUUUUCCCUUACAAAUAUCUGUAAGUUGGUGUGAAAUUGUAUGAAGAAAACUGAAGGACUGUCCUUGUUUUGCUGUGUUCCACUAUUACAGCUAUUGCUACGUCCUCUACAACUGAGAAUAGUGCUUACAUCUAUGUGGACAUUUUUGCUGUUCCAGAGGGUUGGCAUUCAUAAUGGGAGCAAUGCUUUUGGUAGGGUGUGUUCAUGUACAACAGAGAAAGAAAUAGUAAUUUAUUAAUUUAGUCCAUUCGUUCCAGUAUAUCAUCAUAUUUUAUUUACCUUACAUUUAUAUUUGCACUGAAAUUGGUGAGUGAAACAGAGACCUAGCUAGGCUAUUGUUUAUCAGCUCUUAAGUCUCUAAGUCAUGCAAGAAUAUCUAUGCUCAUAUUUAGAUUUGAUGAGGCUUUUGUUUUUUCUUGUGCAAAGCUUGCAGAGAUGCUUGAUUUGUUUAAUUACAAAAUAGACUUGUCUGUUUA